GGAGAAAUACCCAAGUGGUUGAAGGGGCGGGCUUGGAAAGCUCGUAGGUCUUUAAUCGGGCGCGAGGGUUCGAAUCCCUCUUUCUCCGCCA
rnacentral:tRNA from 1 species